UUUACAGCUCUCGGACAGAGACAUACCCUAAUCUUGGACACUAAGUAAGAGUUCCUGCAGACAAUGUGCAAUCAGUGUUGUUUACACUGCAGCUGUCCUGCAAUCGAAUCUAAUCAAGGUAACUAUGCUCACAAGCGCUCUGCACCUAUGCUCAAAAGAACAGCUUAGUUCUCAAUCAGGCAUCAAAAAUAUAGGUCUCAGUAAUAUUGACUGUCAGACAGUAAAUCAUGUCUAAAUGUGACUAAAAUGUGAAAUUCAAAGCUCUGGCACAGCCCAGGAAGAGGGAAGGGUGGUGAAGCUCUAGUAAUUCAAGUAUGAGCUGCGAAAGAUCACAUCUGGGUUAAUAAAAGAAACCAGCAAGAGAUAAAAACAGAAGGAAAAGGAAGAAAUUAGAUUUCAUACAGGAGAGCCUGCAGCUGCCUCAGAGACGGUGCAGAGAUGUGAGGCUGACCUCUGGAAGCAGCGCAGAAGCACGGGUCGCAAAGGUUGAUCCAAUUCUGGGCAGCCAGUGCCAACAGUCUGAUUAAGAGGUGACGAGCAGGGCAGGCCCACCAUCAUCUCUGCAGGAAGAUUCUCUUUGGUGCAACUGAGGUGGUCGCAGAAAGUUCAAGCACCAAAGCUGGCCUGAUAAUCAGAGAAAGGAGACAAAACUUUCGUCUCUGGAACAUUUUCCCUCUAAGAUGUGAGUUAACAGCUACAGCAAAGAUGAAGCAGAAUGAAGGCCUGGCGACAAGCCAUUCAUUUGAUUCAGGUGUGCCGGAGAAGGAAUCUAAACGUUGGAGGAUGGUCGCUCUUAAGGAUUGGACUUUGGUACCCUCUGAUCUAGCAUAUUAAUAUAACAUAGAAAUUAGAAAUUUUUAAAAAAAGAAAGAAAUUAGAGCUGUAGAGCC